rnacentral:rRNA from 1 species
AACGAACGCUGGCGGCAUGCCUAACACAUGCAAGUCGAACGAGACCUUCGGGUCUAGUGGCGCACGGGUGCGUAACGCGUGGGAACCUGCCCUUAGGUUCGGAAUAACUCCCCGAAAGGGGUGCUAAUACCGGAUAAUGUCUUCGGACCAAAGAUUUAUCGCCUUUGGAUGGGCCCGCGUUGGAUUAGCUAGUUGGUAGGGUAAAAGCCUACCAAGGCGACGAUCCAUAGCUGGUCUGAGAGGAUGAUCAGCCACACUGGGACUGAGACACGGCCCAGACUCCUACGGGAGGCAGCAGUGGGGAAUACUGGACAAUGGGCGAAAGCCUGAUCCAGCAAUGCCACGUGAGUGAUGAAGGCCUUAGGGUUGUAAAGCUCUUUUACCCGGGAUGAUAAUGACAGUACCGGGAGAAUAAGCUCCGGCUAACUCCGUG